rnacentral:tmRNA from 1 species
GGGGACGACAUGGCUUCGACGUGGGUGGCGAAACCUUAAGGUGCAUGUCGAGGCGCAGAUCACCUCGUUAAUACAGCUGCAAACCAUUUAGUUGCCAACGACGACAACUACGCUUUAGCUGCUUAAUAACCAGUCUAACGCCCUCUGACUGAGGCUCGCCUGUAGGCUUCAGAUUCCAGGGGUCACCCUAUACAGGAUCGCGUUGUGAUCAGCCUGAGGUCACUUCACUAAACUCUAAACGGGAUCGUUGCUCAGUAUCCUGAAGCGCUGGAGACUGAAUGAUUAAACUAAAUAGCGCAAUCUAAACAUGUAGAGCCUAAGGCAGAGUACUUGCGGACGGGGGUUCGAUUCCCCCCGUCUCCACCA